rnacentral:rRNA from 1 species
AAAAUACGGGAGGCAGCAGUGGGGAAUAUUGGACAAUGGGGGAAACCCUGAUCCAGCGACGCCGCGUGAGUGAAGAAGUAUUUCGGUAUGUAAAGCUCUAUCAGCAGGGAAGAAAAUGACGGUACCUGACUAAGAAGCCCCGGCUAACUACGUGCCAGCAGCCGCGGUAAUUUUU